UCCACCGCUGGACUCCUAUGCACAAGAACCACAUGGAGCUGUUCCGUAAUAAGUCACAACAUUUUUGGAGGUGAGCAAGGUGCUGAAGAAGGCGUAGGCCACAGGGAAGAAGGUGGAGCUGUGGCCAUGCUUAGUCAAUUCAUUGACUUUGCAACAUCCAUGUUUCUUUUGUUUUUUUACAUGGCCUUUCAAUAUACAGGUAUUGUUAUUGGAGCGGCUUCUGCUUCUAGACCCUCUUCCUGCCUUUGCCAGGUGACCAGCUGCAGGCAAGAGUUCCAC